UACGUAGGUGACAAGCGUUGUCCGGAUUUACUGGGCGUAAAGAGCGCGCAGGCGGUCGAUCAAGUCGAGUGUGAAAGCCCCCGGCUCAACUGGGGAGGGUCACGCGAUACUGUUCGACUCGAAGGCAGGAGAGGGUAGUGGAAUUCCCGGUGUAGUGGUGAAAUGCGUAGAUAUCGGGAGGAACACCAGUGGCGAAGGCGACUACCUGGCCUGUUCUUGACGCUGAGGCGCGAAAGCUAGGGUAGCAAACGGG
rnacentral:rRNA from 1 species